GAAACACCUCAUAUGAUGAAGCCUUAUUAAGGUGUUUAUGGUGUUAUGAGUAUGUGAUGCUGCACAAUUACCUUCUCAGAGUCAUUAUGAGCACAUCUACUGCUUCGGGACGAGCUGGAAUCACAGUCUGUCAUAAUUAACGCCAGACAAGAAGAGAAACUAGACAUUCCUUUAAGAAAAAACAAAUGGAUUUAUUACAAACUAUAACAGACAGAGACAUUUCAAAGUGCAGCACAGACAGACGAGACAGACGUUCACAUACACACAUAUUUACUGCUCAAUACAGCACCAAAAAAAAAUUCAAGUAAUCAGUCCAGUCACAGCAAGGAAUUAUGGGUCCUUUUAUCACUAAUGAAAGGCAGGUGUGGCCUGACGGUCUCACGACCUGAUGGGCGAAUCACAUGCUCUGAUGAGUGGGUCUCACGUUCUGAUGGGCGAAUCACAUGCUCUGAUGGGCGGAUCUCAUGCUCUGAUGAGCGGGUCUCACGUUCUGAUGGGCGAAGCACAUGCUCUGAUGGGCGGGUCUUUUCUCUGAUGGGGGAAUCACAUGCUCUGAUCGGCGGGUCUCACGUUCUGAUGGUCGAAUCACAUGCUCUGAUGAGCCAGUCUUUUGCUCUGAUGGGCGGGUCAUAUGCUCUGAUGGGUGGGUCUCAUGCUCUGAUGGGCUGGUCUUACGUUCUGAUGGGCGAAUCACUUGCUCUGAUGGGCGGGUCUCACGUUAUGAUGGGCGAAUCACAUGCUCUGAUGGGCGAAUCACAUGCGCUGAUGAGCGAGUCUUUUGCUCUGAUGGGCGAAUCACAUGCUCUGAUGAGCGAGUCUUGCUCUGAUGGGGGAAUCACAUGCUCUGAUGGGCGAAUCACACGCUCUGAUGGGCGAAUCACAUGCUCUGAUGGGUGGGUCUCACGCCCUGAUAGGCAGGUCUCACACCCUGAUGGGCGGGUCUUUUGCUCUGAUGCUCACAGUGAGAUCUAAGUGAUGUCACUCAUCAGCAGCUCACUCGUCUAACCGCAGCACUCACGGGUGGAUCUGUGUUUGUGAUUCUCCGCUCUGAUAUUCCUGAAGGAUCUUCUCCAGCUCUUCUAAACACGGGCCUAUCGCUCGCCUUGACACCGGAGCCAUUUUGAACCUAUGAGAAAAAAACAACAAGAAGGACUGAAAGCAGACUGAAGAGAGCUCAGGGUUGCACGAUUCAUCGAAAUAUAACCCAAACGGUGUUUCGUAGUGAAGCACAUCACUCUGAUCUCAAUCUGGGCUCAAUAAAUUCUUCUAUUUAUUUGUAUUAAAAGUCUUG
ensembl:lncRNA